UAAAACUUUUAAACCUGUUCCUCCGACUAGGAUUGACUUGCAAGGUGUAACAAUAAGAAGCAUUGGCAUAGUCAAUGCAUAGCCUUAUAGAACCUGUUCUGCCUUACUUGGCCACACUCUUGAAAAGGGGGAGGGGGUUGAUGUGUUAUUAUGAAUCAAAUAUUGACUGUUUGAAACUAUGUGCAAGUGACUUGGACAAAUUUGAUAUCAUUUCACAUAUUGAAUACCUUUUGGUUUCCAUUAAAGAUAGUAUAUUUGAAAAACCCUUGUAAGAUAACGAGUUAGGUCUGAAAUAUAAUGCAGUAGCAAACCAUGGUCAAAAUAUUCCAUCUUAUCUAAUCUGUAAAAGAAACCUAAGCAAUUUCCAGACUGUGGCUUCCAAGUUGAGAAAUGCAAUUACAAUGUCAAUUGUCAAAAAAAAAAUGUUUCCAAUAUUUCAUUUAUUUUGAGUAGAGUACCUAAAAUUGCAUAUGAUUAUAGCUUUCUCUUUGUUUGUCUCAGUUUUGAUAAUCUCCUCCACCUUCUUAAGGUGACAAAUAAUUUUUUUGCACCUGCAGUUCCUUAUUAUUCUGUAAAGUAUAUGUAGGUGAUAAAAGUUCUGUGAUGGAGUGCCUUUUUGUUUAAUUAUUUAAAGGCACAGAAAGACAGAAUUGUUUACCCAGAGACAUGUACCUGUACAAAAUGUAGAUUAUAUACAACCCUGCAACCAAUUUCCGUAGCAGAGUGGCUAUGUCCUUGUUUUGUUAUAUUUUGCAAAAGUGUAUAUUAGAGUCGAGCACUUGGCAAUGCAAUAAAAUAUUGUACUACUUAU
rnacentral:sRNA from 1 species